UACGUAGGGGGCUAGCGUUGUCCGGAAUCAUUGGGCGUAAAGAGCGCGUAGGCGGCCAGAUAAGUCCGGUGUGAAAGUCACAGGCUCAACCUGUGAAUGCCGCUGGAAACUGUCUGGCUAGAGUCCGGAAGGGGCGAGUGGAAUUCCUGGUGUAGCGGUGAAAUGCGCAGAUAUCAGGAGGAACACCAAUGGCGAAGGCAGCUCGCUGGGACGGUACUGACGCUGGGGCGCGAAAGCGUGGGGAGCGAACAGG
rnacentral:rRNA from 1 species